rnacentral:ncRNA from 1 species
AUAAUUUAUUGUGAAUGAUUGAUUUAUUACUUUGCAACUUUAGUGCAAGUCUUGGGCUUAUUAAUUUAAUAUCAGCCCCGACAUUCUGGGUUUUAUUAGAUCUUUUAUUAAACCGCUUUUAUUAGACCAAAACUAAUCGGACCUCGUGUCUGUAUUAUGUAGUGACUCUCUCUCAUCCCGAGGACAUAUCUUUUAAGUGUUUGCCCUAUCAACUGUCGAAGGUAGGGUACGCGUCUACCAUGGUCGCAACGAGUGACGGGGAAUCAGGGUUCGAUUGCGGAGAGGAAGCCUGAGAAACGGCUACCACAUCCAAGGAAAGCAGCAGGCGCGGAAAUUACCCACUCCUAGAACGGGGAGGUAGUGACGAAAAAUAACAAUACGGGACUCUUUUGAGACUCCGUAAUUGGAAUGAGUACACUCUAAAUACUUUAGCGAGGAUCAAUUGGUGCCAGUAGCUGCGGUAAUUCCAGCUCCAAAUAGGGUAUAUUAAAGUUGUUGCUGUUAAAAAGCUCGUAGUUGGAUCUCAGUUCCAAACGGGUGGUCCACCUACCGGUGAUUACUGCCUGUUCUGAGCAGCCAGCCGGUUUCCUUUGAUGAUGUUCACCGAUUGUCUUGGGUGGCCCUCAAGUUUAUCUUAAAAAAUUGGAGUGCUUAAAGCAUUAUAUUUAUAUGUCUUUUUCGCUUCCAAUAGAUACUUAGAAUUUAGGAAAUUACAUGCAUGGAAAUCUCAUUUUCAG